AUGAUUUUUUUUAAAACAGUUGAUGUUACAGGCUUCACUCGUCCUAAAGUGAGCGUCCUGCCGCCCUCCAGUGAAGAGAUUUCCACAAAGAAAACAGCAACACUGAUGUGUGUGCUCAACAAGGGUUUCCCCUCAGACUGGAGUGUGAUGUGGAAGGUGGACGGGAGCAGCAGAUCUCAGGACAGCAGUGUUGGGCUCCUGGAGAAGGACGGUCUGUACAGCUGGAGCAGCAGUCUGACUCUCUCUGAGCAGGAGUGGAGCUCAGUGCUCUCAGUGAGCUGUGAGGCCAAACACAAAGAUCCCAGUCAUACAGUAACUGGAGAAUUCAGGAGAGAUGAUGAGUGUUCACACUAG